rnacentral:rRNA from 1 species
CUACGGAGGGUGCAAGCGUUGUUCGGAAUUAUUGGGCGUAAAGAGCAUGUAGGCGGUUCGUUAAGUCUGAUGUGAAAGCCCGGGGCUCAACCCCGGAAGUGCAUUGGAUACUGGCGAACUUGAGUACGGGAGAGGAAAGUGGAAUUUCGAGUGUAGGGGUGAAAUCCGUAGAUAUUCGAAGGAACACCAGUGGCGAAGGCGGCUUGCUGGACCGAUACUGACGCUGAGAUGCGAAAGCGUGGGGAGCAAACAGGAGUAGAAACCCCGGUAGUCC